CUCAUGUGAUGUUGGAUGGAUUGG
rnacentral:siRNA from 1 species